CCGGUGGUGAUUUCUCCACCUGCGCCCUCCCUAAACUUGCUGCACGACCGCAAGCCCCUUCUAGCCAGGUCAAUGGAGUGGUGUUACAAUCUUCCAAAAAGCCUGCUGGUAACCGCUUCGUGGCGUUAAACCCAGAUGUCUCCCUCACGGGGGACUGAAGUUUUGACCUCAGAUCAGACAAGGAUACCCGCUGAACUUAA
rnacentral:misc_RNA from 1 species